GGAGAUGGCUUAGUUGGUGAAGCACUUGUCCUGCAAACAUGAGGGUCUGAGUUUGCUUCUCAAAGUCUCCC
rnacentral:tRNA from 1 species